UAAAUGGGUUAUGUAAGAGUAUACUGAGAUUUUUUUUUUUUAAGUGUACUGAGAUAUUGAUCCUUUGUCACUUGGGAGUACAAUUAGAAUCUGAGGCAGCUGGUUUGCCUCCAUAAAUGAGUAGUCUCUUCUUUUUUUCCUGGUAUACUAUAUAAGCAUUAAUGUUUUGUACAUAUGCCAUAAUGUGAAUGGGUUGGAAAGCACUGGGGGCAGAAUGUAGGAGGCUACAUGUCGUGAGCCCAAAAACACGCAGGGAAGGCCAUCAGUUCCAAAAGACAAAUUUUGACCACUUGUCUAGGAUUUUUGUUUCAUUUUAGUUGUGUGCAGUCAAAUAUAAGUCAUUUGUAUAUGGAUAUAUUUUAUAUAUUUUUGUAGCUUAUAUACAUGUAUAAUAUAUUAGAAUUAUUCUCCAGAACUAAUAGAUAAUAAAAAUUUAUUUUUUUCUUUGCAUCUAAAUUAACUCCAUAUAAAAUGGAGUAUAUCAUAAUGUAUGGAUAUACAUAGCUGGUACUGUAUAACUUUAAAAAAAUGACUUUCUUACGGUAAAAGAAAAUCUGAAUAGGAAGUAUUAAGGGGCUAGUCUGCCUCCUUAGCGCAGUAGGCAGCACAUCGGUCUCAUAAUCUGACGCAAGUAUUAAGGGGCUAACAAUGUUGUACCUGGAAUUUGAAAUGGAUAUUAAAUAGUUAAUUACCUAUAAUUGAGCUACAAUAUGAUUUUUGCCACAUAUUUUAUUUUCACGUCAAAGAGUUACUGUUUGCUUUAAUCUUUUUGUAGUAGCUUUCUCAUUUUUCUGAGAAGCAGCAUCUUGAAUGAGUCAUUUAAAUUUAGCUUACAUCAUCCUCAUUUCUGUGUUUUAAAUGUUUUAUUAGAAGGAGAGUUCGUGAUCACGAAAUGACUAUGUAAAUUACUUCAAAGUGUUAGAUUUAUUAUUAAGUAUUUUUAGAGUAAGCUUCAUUGGUAAGCAUUUGCAUUUUAAAACGUAUGUAAUUGUAUGGAUAUAAAGUUUUGUGACAGAAUCCUUGUAUAUGAUGUAGAGCCGUAAUAUUAGUACUAAUAUACCAUAUUUAUUCACUCAACAGAUAUUUAUAAAGUGCUUACUAUAUGCCCAGACAUAAGGAGGGAACUGAUAAGCCUAAAUGGUAAAUUGAAGAAGGUAUGCUAUGGAAAUCCUAGGGAGAUGCUAGUCUUGAGACUAGCAGCUUUGAUUUUCAUUUAUCCAGGGACAGGAUUUGAGACUUCGAGCCCUCUAUAAGUUGGAGAGUUCUGUGACCCCUUCUCAAAGCUGAAUCCCUUUAAAGUUUACAAUCCCAUGAACAAUCCAGGGAGUUAACAAGGAAGCUUAUCUAUUUCAGCCAGGGCUCUUGGUUGGGAAAAAUAGUUUCAUUGAAUUUACGGUCAUGGCCUUCACCUCACAUACUUUAUGGUUUGAAUUUAUAUUACUCAUAUAGUCUAAAAGAUCCUAAGCUGAAAUAUUAACUUCACAAGUAAUUCUGAGUUGGUGAUUCCCUGGAGACCUGGUAGAAGCAAAUGUAGAAUCACUCUGGAGAUACAUGACCUUAACCAAGGCUACCCAGAAAUUUCACAGAUUGUAGCUACACCUGAGAAAAUAACCUUAGGAAAAGCUAGGAACAGAAAGUAUUAGUAGUCAACCUGAGGAAAGUUAGCAUAGAAAAUAAAUGUCAUGAUUAGAUUCUCAAGAACUUCUGAUAAUAGAAGUAUUUGAUAAAGACUAUAAGUAUGUCUAAAAUGAUAUUUUUAAAAUUCCUAAUCAUAACUUUAUGCCAGAAAAUUUAAAACUGAAAAUACACAAUAUUUAAGAAAAAUAUACUCAGCAAUGAGCAUUCAUUGCAGUUAUUUCAUAUUAGCCAAAAACAAGAAACAAUCUAGAUAUCUAUGAGGAGAACUAAUAAAUGAUAGUGUAUUCAUGCAGUGGAAUACUACAUGGUAGUUAGAAUGAUUGAAUGGGAGCUCCAUGACAAGCAUGAGUAAAUCUCGCUUUGAGUGAAAAAGUAAUUUGUAGGAUUUUACAAACAGUAUAGCCAUUUGAACAGUUUAGUGAUACACGUGCAGUAAAAAACAUAAAACCCUGCAAAAAAUGGUAAAUAUAUAAUUUAGGGGUUUAGUUACCUAUUGGAAAAGAAGGAAGGAAAGAGAAUGGGAUCAUGUAGGAUCAUAUAUUAGACUUCAGCUUCAUCCGAAGUUUUAACAGUGUUAAAAUUUGAUGAAGAUGGAAUGUGGAAGCACAUUUGUUUCUUAUAUCUUAUAUACUUUUCUGAGCAUUUAAAUUUUUGUAACAAAAAUAUAUUUUAAAAUACUUUGCAUUCAAAAGCAAUUGAGAAAGUGUAUAAACAUGCUAAACCUGCAUAUUUCUUAUUUUGAAUCAAACUAUGUUUAAAUCUUUUAAUAAAUUAUUUUAUGCUACUUUCUCCUUCCACCUUUCAUAGUCAAAGUUUGUGGGGAAAAUCUAUAAGAACAAAAUCAUUUAAUAUGAUAUGCCGAUUCUGGGGUCAAUUCUUGUUGGCAGUUUCCAGAUCCUAGUAGCACAGUGAAAUGUUUUCUACCCCCAAGGUCUUUUCUCUCAUGAUAACUGAGCCUUUCCAUCUCUGUUGAUUCCUGUCUCAUGGAGUAUGUUUGGGGGCAUUUUACUCUCUUAGGGCCUGGUGAGAGGGGGAUGGUUUCUCUUCUCUUUGGGUCUCUUUCUGAGCUCCACUCCUACCCCGAGGGUUUGUCUCUUACACUUGCACUCUCUCAGAGUCAAUCUCUUGCUUGUUCUCUUAUUUGUCAUCUCCUUCCUUUCCCUUUUUCUAUCUAGAGCUCACUCUUCUGGGAUAGUCUCUGUCUUUCUGUGCUGUAUGUGCGUGUGCCUGCCUUUCUCUUUUUUCCCUCCCCUCUCCCAAGUCCCCAUCAGUUUCUUUCUUACUCUCCCCAUGGGUAGGUCUUUUUCUGUCUCUCUUGCUCUCUUUCCAUUUCUUUUCUAAUUUACCUACUUAUGUUCCAUUUGUCUUAUUUAGGUAAAGCUACUUCUUCUUCUAAUCCAAGCAGCCCAGCUCCAGACUGGUACAAAGAUUUUGUUACAGAUGCUGAUGCUGAGGUUUUAGAGCAUUCUGGAAAAAUGGUACUUCUCUUUGAAAUUCUUCGAAUGGCAGAGGAAAUUGGGGAUAAAGUCCUUGUUUUCAGCCAGUCCCUCAUAUCUCUGGACUUGAUUGAAGAUUUUCUUGAAUUAGCUAGUAGGGAGAAGACAGAAGAUAAAGAUAAACCCCUUAUUUAUAAAGGUGAGGGAAAGUGGCUUCGAAACAUUGACUAUUACCGUUUAGAUGGUUCCACUACUGCACAGUCAAGGAAGAAGUGGGCUGAAGAAUUUAAUGAUGAAACUAAUGUGAGAGGGCGAUUAUUUAUCAUUUCUACUAAAGCAGGAUCUCUAGGAAUUAAUCUGGUAGCUGCUAAUCGAGUAAUUAUAUUCGAUGCUUCUUGGAAUCCAUCUUACGACAUCCAGAGUAUAUUCAGAGUUUAUCGCUUUGGACAAACUAAGCCUGUUUAUGUAUAUAGGUUCUUAGCUCAGGGAACCAUGGAAGAUAAGAUUUAUGAUCGGCAAGUAACUAAGCAGUCACUGUCUUUUCGAGUUGUUGAUCAGCAGCAGGUGGAGCGUCAUUUUACUAUGAAUGAGCUUACUGAACUUUAUACUUUUGAGCCAGACUUAUUAGAUGACCCUAAUUCAGAAAAGAAGAAGAAGAGGGAUACUCCCAUGCUGCCAAAGGAUACCAUACUUGCAGAACUCCUUCAGAUACAUAAAGAACACAUUGUAGGAUAUCAUGAACAUGAUUCUCUUUUGGACCACAAAGAAGAAGAGGAGUUGACUGAAGAAGAAAGAAAAGCAGCUUGGGCUGAGUAUGAAGCAGAGAAGAAGGGACUGACCAUGCGUUUCAACAUACCAACUGGGACCAAUUUACCCCCUGUCAGUUUCAAUUCUCAAACUCCUUAUAUUCCUUUCAAUUUGGGAGCCCUGUCAGCAAUGAGUAAUCAACAGCUGGAGGUAAGUUGUGAAGUACAAAAGUAGUUUAACAUGAAUUAAAGGCAAUUUCAAGUGCCUUGUUUUUGAGGGUUCCCUAUGCAGGAAUAUCACAUUCUCCAAAUGAUUACCCCUGAAUAGACCAAUAAAUUUUUGUUUUAUUUGUUGACCGUUUUGAACCACCAUAAUGUUGUAAAAUGUGGUUUGUUCAGAGCACAAAGGAAUCAGUCAGUGAAUUAAUGUAGUUUGAAUUAUUUUAAUUAAGAAACAAUAGGGCUGCUGACUGGCUUGGGAAAUAGCACCUUCUUCAGUUAUAAAAUAGUUAUAAUAAACAAAUUGCUAUCUUACUGUUUGAAAGUAAGAUAAAUAUACUCAUUAACUUCUAUUCUACUGCAUUAUAGAUGUACAAUUAAAUAUAUAAUGCCCAAUAUUUUGAAAUAAAUGAUUUAAAGCUAGAAUCAAUUGUAAAUUAAAUAGGAAAGACUGGGUUUUUAUUAUAUCAAUAAUGAUUUAAUUGAAUCUGAAACACAUUAUAAAAUGUGCUUAUGGAUUCUUCUGAAUUAUUAAAUUAUUGGUGUGAUAAAACUCAAACUUUUAAUCUUCCUAACAAGACUCUUUGAGCAUUGAUAUGUUUUACUCCACUUUAUUGGUACUGAAUUUUGCUGUUCUCUUCAAUUAUUUAAAGAGUUUUAAAACCGACUGCUAUAAAUUGGCAAAUGGAAGGAUUCCCUAUACUUUAACACUAUGCUGUCUUUCUGCCUUAUAUAACUUAUUUCUUGCAUUCUUCUUAGGACCUCAUUAAUCAAGGAAGAGAAAAAGUCGUAGAAGCAACAAACAGUGUGACAGCAGUGAGGAUUCAACCUCUUGAAGAUAUAAUUUCAGCUGUAGUAAGCUAAUUGGCAAUUGUCUUAUUCCAACCUCCAAUUUGUACCCUCCACCCCCUACUGCCGUUUUUAAAAAUUUUUAAUUGUUUCCUUCUUAUAAGUUGAUUUGCAAUAGUAAAGUACUGGUAAAAUGGAUGGAAAAAAGUGCCAAACCGUAACCCAGCAAUUUUACGUAGAUGUUGGCACAAAAGAGAAAUGGGUAAAAGGUAAGAAUUGAGAAAUCAAACAUGGAAAUGUAUGCAUUGUUUACAUAAACAUUUUAAUUACCAGUUGCACAAAUUAAAUCUAAAUUAUUGUUUCAUUCCAGAGAUAGCCAGCCCAGGUACAGCAGUGAACAACUUAGUACCCUGUCUUGCAUCAUGCUUUUCUUCAGAAAAAAAUAAAGGAACAGGGGGGUUUGGAACCUUGGGAAAUCCUGAAUAUCUUAAAAUACCUUAAUUAUUUUUCCUCAAUUGUACAGUAAUAAGGAGUAAAUAGAAAAUUUUUCUUUUAGUGGAAGGAGAACAUGAAUCUCUCAGAGGCCCAAGUACAGGCGUUAGCAUUAAGUAGACAAGCCAGCCAGGAGCUUGAUGUUAAACGAAGAGAAGCAAUCUACAAUGAUGUAUUGACAAAACAACAGAUGUUAAUCAGCUGUGUUCAGCGAAUACUUAUGAACAGAAGGCUCCAGCAGCAGUACAAUCAGCAGCAACAGCAACAAAUGACUUAUCAACAAGCAACACUGGGUCACCUCAUGAUGCCAAAGCCUCCAAAUUUGAUCAUGAAUCCUUCUAACUACCAGCAGAUUGAUAUGAGAGGAAUGUAUCAGCCAGUGGCUGGUGGUAUGCAGCCACCACCAUUACAGCGUGCACCACCCCCAAUGAGAAGCAAAAAUCCAGGACCUUCCCAAGGGAAAUCAAUGUGAUUUUGCACUAAAAGCUUAAUGGAUUGUUAAAAUCAUAGAAAGAUCUUUUAUUUUUUUAGGAAUCAAUGACUUAACAGAACUCAACUGUAUAAAUAGUUUGGUCCCCUUAAAUGCCAAUCUUCCAUAUUAGUUUUACUUUUUUUUUUUUUAAAAUAGGGCAUACCAUUUCUUCCUGACAUUUGUCAGUGAUGUUGCCUAGAAUCUUCUUACACACACUGAGUACAGAAGAUAUUUCAAAUUGUUUUCAGUGAAAACAAGUCCUUCCAUAAUAGUAACAACUCCACAGAUUUCCUCUCUAAAUUUUUAUGCCUGCUUUUAGCAACCAUAAAAUUGUCAUAAAAUUAAUAAAUUUAGGAAAGAAUAAAGAUUUAUAUAUUCAUUCUUUACAUAUAAAAACACACAGCUGAGUUCUUAGAGUUGAUUCCUCAAGUUAUGAAAUACUUUUGUACUUAAUCCAUUUCUUGAUUAAAGUGAUUGAAAUGGUUUUAAUGUUCUUUUGGCUGAAGUCUGAAACUGGGCUCCUGCUUUAUUGUCUCUGUGACUGAAAGUUAGAAACUGAGGGUUAUCUUUGACACAGAAUUGUGUGCAAUAUUCUUAAAUACUACUGCUCUAAAAGUUGGAGAAGUCUUGCAGUUAUCUUAGCAUUGUAUAAACAGCCUUAAGUAUAGCCUAAGAAGAGAAUUCCUUUUUCUUCUUUAGUCCUUCUGCCAUUUUUUAUUUUCAGUUAUAUGUGCUGAAAUAAUUACUGGUAAAAUUUCAGGGUUGUGGAUUAUCUUCCACACAUGAAUUUUCUCUCUCCUGGCACGAAUAUAAAGCACAUCUCUUAACUGCAUGGUGCCAGUGCUAAUGCUUCAUCCUGUUGCUGGCAGUGGGAUGUGGACUUAGAAAAUCAAGUUCUAGCAUUUUAGUAGGUUAACACUGAAGUUGUGGUUGUUAGGUUCA
rnacentral:sRNA from 1 species